rnacentral:misc_RNA from 1 species
UGGGGGUUACAGUGCGUGGGGACAUUGCUGGACGCGCCCCAGGGCGCACCCAGAAACCCUUUGUGAACUUAUGCCCCCCAUCGUUGCCUCGGCAAGGCCGGGAGACGCCACGUCUCCCCCUCGCGGGCCCGCUCUCCGCAGCGGGCCCGGGCGGAGCAGGUCUGCCGGCGGCCCUUCUAAAAACCCUUCUGUCUUUACCAGUACUACUUCUGAGCAAACAAAACAAAUGAAUCAAAACUUUCAACAACGGAUCUCUUGGUUCUGGCAUCGAUGAAGAACGCAGCGAAAUGCGAUACGUAAUGUGAAUUGCAGAAUUCAGUGAAUCAUCUGAUCUUUGAACGCACAUUGCGCCCGCUGGCAUUCCAGCGGGCAUGCCUGUUCGAGCGUCAUUUCAACCCUCAAGCCUGGCUUGGUGUUGGAGCGCAGCCUGUCAGAGGGCUGGCUCUGAAAUUCAGUGGCGGGCCCGCUAAGACGCCGAGCGUAGUAACUUACUUCUCGCUCUGGCCGGACUUGGUGGUGUUCUGGCCGUAAAACCCCCCCAUAUCUUAAUGGUUGACCUCGGACCAGGUAGGAUACCCGCUGAACUUAAGCAGAUCAAUAAGCGGAGGAACU